UUUUACAACACUAUGUCUAGAAUUUCAGAAAGAAAUUGACAAGAAAGAAGAUUGUGAAGUGAGAUCUUUGUUGUUGGAGAAAGAUUCCCUCGAAAAUGAAAUUGAACUUAUGGAUAAGAAAAAUAAUGUCUUGGAAAAUUCAGUAUUGGCAUUUGUGGAGGAGAUUCUCGAAGAUCUUCAUAGUUCGAACUCAGCAUUACAAGUUCAGAUACAGAGGAGUACCUGGGAGAAUGAGAAAUUGCUUAAGGAUAUCAAUGAUUUGAAGACUACACUGCUUUCAGCAAUUGGGACCAGUGGUGACGGUCAAUAAGUUCCUUUGUUUAAGAAAUUAACAGGAGUUUCAAGUCAAGUAGUCAGGUUUGGUCAUUACUGAUAUUUUACUGAUGUUUAGAGAUGGAUAUAAACUUGGAAAGUUACUUAAGAACUAAACAGCAGCCUAUUUUCCUUGUUCUGGCAAGUGAUAAAAACAAAACAAUGCCAGAAUGCUAGUCCAUUUGGUUCAUUACUAAUUAGCAUCAUGAUAUCUCAUUCAUAUUCUCUUAUAUUACUUUAAUUUAACCUAGAUACGGAAUAUAUGAAGAGUAGCUUUUAGCAAAUAAAUGGCCACUGCGCACAUUUGAAUCGAAACUAAAUUAUGGUCACAAAGUCCCAGGCACCAGAUACAGGCAACAACUAUAUGAAGAGUUGAAGAUAAAAAAAUGAAGCACGUGUUAUUGCUCCAUUGAAGUUGGCAGGUGUAAAGAACUGCAAUCAGGUCCGUGAAAGAUAGUUUUCUUGUUGAAUUAUCUCCCUUGCGGAGUAUGAGCUUUACAGGGCAACAAACUCUUAGCGGUGAAGCAGCUUUUCACGUUUGGAUACAGUUGCCUCCUGAGGAUUAUGCUGCCUCACAUGUGGGUUAUGGCCACUAGCCUGUGUUGGUCAACUACAGACUUAACAAGCUUAUAGAUUUUGAAUUGGUACGACAACAUUAAGACAAGGAAGUAUUUCCAUUUCGUACUCUCUGUAUGUACUUUUUUUUCCCGCAGGGAGUGCUUGACAUCGUUCGUACCUGAAAAGAGACUUCCUCAUAUCAUUUUCUAGCUCUCAGAAGGACAAAUAUGCUCAUUUAAGUUGCUCUUUUUGGGUAGGGGUCCUGCUCGUAGUCUCCACAAGCUUGCUUAUUGAUAUUACGUAAUAGUAUGUGACUGUUUGGUCACCAUCAGCUUCAGUUUGGGACCCAUAAUUUAGAGCAUUGGUUCUGCUUAAGUAUGACAGUAAGAAACAAACUGGGGCUUUCAGGUUAUUAUUUGAGUAAGGUUGCUCAUAAAUGACUCAUUCAUCAAAUUGUGAAACGGCCAACCUUUUCUUCAAAUUGCAAGGUACGCAGGGCUUAGUUAUAUGCAGAACGAUGCCUAUCCAUCUAAAGGUUCUUGACUUGUCAAUUUUGAUUUAGCCCUUUCAACAUCAAAUGAGUGAGAAUCAUGCUCAUCGUUUACGGUACUAUCGACAACGCUGCAAUUAUUUUAACUUCCAGGUGAAUUUGAUGUGGAGGGUUUUGGGGAUCUGUAUUACUUAAACCUGCACAAUAAUUCAGAAUGCACGAUGCCGUUGC